rnacentral:rRNA from 1 species
AGAGUUUGAUCAUGGCUCAGAUUGAACGCUGGCGGCAGGCCUAACACAUGCAAGUCGAACGGUAACAGGAAGAAGCUUGCUUCUUUGCUGACGAGUGGCGGACGGGUGAGUAAUGUCUGGGAAACUGCCUGAUGGAGGGGGAUAACUACUGGAAACGGUAGCUAAUACCGCAUAACGUCGCAAGACCAAAGAGGGGGACCUUCGGGCCUCUUGCCAUCGGAUGUGCCCAGAUGGGAUUAGCUAGUAGGUGGGGUAACGGCUCACCUAGGCGACGAUCCCUAGCUGGUCUGAGAGGAUGACCAGCCACACUGGAACUGAGACACGGUCCAGACUCCUACGGGAGGCAGCAGUGGGGAAUAUUGCACAAUGGGCGCAAGCCUGAUGCAGCCAUGCCGCGUGUAUGAAGAAGGCCUUCGGGUUGUAAAGUACUUUCAGCGGGGAGGAAGGGAGUAAAGUUAAUACCUUUGCUCAUUGACGUUACCCGCAGAAGAAGCACCGGCUAACUCCGUGCCAGCAGCCGCGGUAAUACGGAGGGUGCAAGCGUUAAUCGGAAUUACUGGGCGUAAAGCGCACGCAGGCGGUUUGUUAAGUCAGAUGUGAAAUCCCCGGGCUCAACCUGGGAACUGCAUCUGAUACUGGCAAGCUUGAGUCUCGUAGAGGGGGGUAGAAUUCCAGGUGUAGCGGUGAAAUGCGUAGAGAUCUGGAGGAAUACCGGUGGCGAAGGCGGCCCCCUGGACGAAGACUGACGCUCAGGUGCGAAAGCGUGGGGAGCAAGCAGGAUUAGAUACCCUGGUAGUCCACGCCGUAAACGAUGUCGACUUGGAGGUUGUGCCCUUGAGGCGUGGCUUCCGGAGCUAACGCGUUAAGUCGACCGCCUGGGGAGUACGGCCGCAAGGUUAAAACUCAAAUGAAUUGACGGGGGCCCGCACAAGCGGUGGAGCAUGUGGUUUAAUUCGAUGCAACGCGAAGAACCUUACCUGGUCUUGACAUCCACAGAACUUUCCAGAGAUGGAUUGGUGCCUUCGGGAACUGUGAGACAGGUGCUGCAUGGCUGUCGUCAGCUCGUGUUGUGAAAUGUUGGGUUAAGUCCCGCAACGAGCGCAACCCUUAUCUUUUGUUGCCAGCGGUCCGGCCGGGAACUCAAAGGAGACUGCCAGUGAUAAACUGGAGGAAGGUGGGGAUGACGUCAAGUCAUCAUGGCCCUUACGACCAGGGCUACACACGUGCUACAAUGGCGCAUACAAAGAGAAGCGACCUCGCGAGAGCAAGCGGACCUCAUAAAGUGCGUCGUAGUCCGGAUUGGAGUCUGCAACUCGACUCCAUGAAGUCGGAAUCGCUAGUAAUCGUGGAUCAGAAUGCCACGGUGAAUACGUUCCCGGGCCUUGUACACACCGCCCGUCACACCAUGGGAGUGGGUUGCAAAAGAAGUAGGUAGCUUAACCUUCGGGAGGGCGCUUACCACUUUGUGAUUCAUGACUGGGGUGAAGUCGUACAAGGUAACCGUAGGGGAACCUGCGGUUG